CCGUUGCAAGGGACUCCGAAGAGCUGUGGCAAGGGGUGAAAAGCCAAUCUAACCUGGAGAUAGCUGGUCUUCUGCGAAACCCGUUUUAGCGGGUCGCCCAUUUAUUGAAAUUAAAUUCGUUACUAGACGGUACGGCACUGGAAGCCACGCAGCUUUUGCUGCAUAAUCGGGGGGCUGUCAUGGCUCUAUCGAUGGCUUCUAACCCCGGAAAUGUAUAGUAUACAAUGAUGGGCAAUCAGACGUAUCGUGAUAAGGCGAUUCGUCAAAAGGGCAACAGCCCAGAACAGGUGUGAAGGUCCCUAACAAGCUACUGAGUGAACACAAGGCAGUCCUCUCCAGUGUCUCUCCACAAAGUGGGCUUGGAAGCAGCCACCUUUUAGCGAUAGUGUAACAGCUCAGUGGUCUGAGCCUCCCUAUAAAAAGGGAAUAUUGCCUGGUGAGGGCGCCAAAAAUGUAACGGGUCUAUAGUAGUUGUCUCUCUGUUCCAGCUUUGGAUAUGGAGGGAGUGGCAGUUUCUUCACUGUCUCACCGAAACCCUGUCCUAGAUGUAAAAUUCUAGGGGUAGCAGAAUACCCAGCAAAUGGAAUGAAGCUUGCUCAUUGAGCCGGUGGACAUAGCUGGGCUAAGAAUGCUGACAUGAGUAGCCUAAAAGGAGGGUAAUUCCCACUUCGCCGAAAGCAGAAGAGUUUCAUUUGUAAGGUCUAUACCUAGAUGAUUAAAGCAGCGGCCUCUAAGGUUCAGAGUAACAAAUUAGUUCCGAUGAGUAACUCUUCUAUAGGGCAGUAACCUUCCUUAUAAGUUUACCUUCAAGUAAUUAGAGGUAUACUUCAAAGAGUAAGGUUCGGGAAAGAGCCCUACAGAAUCAAUCUUAAAACCGUACCCUAAACCGACACAGGUCUGCAAGUAGAGCAUACUAAGGCGUAGAGAUAAUCGUCUUGAAGGAACUCGGCAAAAUGACCCCGUAACUUCGGGAGAAGGGGUGCCACUAAUAAGUGGCGGCACUAAACAGGGGGGCGCGACUGUUUACUUAAAACACCGGACUCUGCUAACACUAGCGUGGAUGUAUAGAGU
rnacentral:rRNA from 1 species